rnacentral:lncRNA from 1 species
CCCGUUUUCCUCCCUGGCACCACCGAGGGGGGCCCGGCCCAGGGCUCUCCAGGAGCCCGCCGUGGGCUGAGUACGGCCGAGGACUGGGCAGGCAGGGCAGCCGGUGGUCGCCGUCCCUCCAGGACACGAGUGCCCCUGCACAGGGGCGGAAGGGGAGGCCCGGGAGCCGGGGAGCCGCGGAGGCCAAGGGCCAGGCCGGCCAGGCCCCAGGGCAGGGCGGGGCGAUCCCAGCGUGCGGCCCUGAGGCACUGUCCCCACACCGCUCCACACUGUCCCGAAGCCCCCGAGCGCCAGCCCGGACCCCCGGGACACGCACACACACACACACACACACACACACACACUCCCCCCGACCCCCCCACACACACACCCCCUCCACCCCUCCGCCCCCACCCCACCCCCCCCCCCCCCCCCCCCGCACCCGGGACACCCCCCCCCACUCCCCUCCCCUCCAGCAACGCGCGGCGCUCCCAUCCCCCGGCAGCCCACCAGGUGGCGCUCGCUCCCACCCGGCCGCCGCGCCGACGCCCGUGACGUCAGCCGCCCGGCUCCAUUUGAGCGCCUCUCGGCAGCCGAGAACUCGGACUUCCCGUGUGGCUCACAACAUAACUACUCGGCGUUGCUUCUACAGUGGCUGUGGCUCGACCCCUAGCCUGGGAACCUCCAUAUGCCGCAGCCCCGCGGCGGCAGAUGGCACUCGUUCUGCCGCUUUUUCCUGGCUGUGUGCGAUGCCAUCGCAUAGAUGUCCCCGGUCUGCGAAGUGCACUCACCUGUCAGUGGACCUUUAGGUGGCUUCCAGAUCUUGGCUCUGGUGAGUAGUGCGGCGACAGACAGAGGGGUGCCCGGGUCUGCUUCCGGGAAAGUUUGGUCCCGGGAAAUGGAGCUGUUUGGAGGCCGGCUUCGGUCUUUGUGUGGGCCGGCCCGUGUAGGGCUGCUUGGCUGAGACUCUGUCGAGGAGGGAGGCCUUCAGCCACCGGGGCCUCACGGGGCCUACCCGUGCGGCACCAUCACAGAGCUCUCCGUCACUGCCCCUUGUGGGGGUGAGGGAAGGGGCGUGUGGGGGGGGGGCGUGUGUGGGGGGGAUGGUGGGCAAGGAGCACACACUUGGGCUUGGCGGGUGGGGGGGGGUGGGGGUGGGGGAAAGGGGCUGCCCUGGGAUGGAUGGGGAUGGGCCCUGGGCUGCUCUGUGGAUGCCACCUGCGCUGUGUGGAAUGGAUGGGCCAGGGGAGCCGCCGGUACAGCGCGGGGAAAUGUCUGCGAGUGGGUCUCUUGACUCUGUCGAGGAGGGAGGCCUUCAGCCACCGGGGCCUCACGGGGCCUACCCGUGCGGCACCAUCACAGAGCUCUCCGUCACUGCCCCUUGUGGGGGUGAGGGAAGGGGCGUGUUUGAGGGGGGUGGGGGGGUGUGCGCGCGCGCGUGCACGCACGCUGGCGGGCGUGGGUGUCCCGGGGCCUGGCCAGCCC